AUGUAUAAGACAGAUUAACUUGUCUAUUAAAUGAUUAGUAAAACUAUUCAAGAGCUAUUAACUUUGUCAAAUUGUUGAUCAAUCAUCAUCAUCACCAGUGUCAUCUUUAACUAUCAAGUGAUUCCCUUCAAAAUCAUUUAAAACUUGUAUUCGUCAGAACCAUUUGAAGUCAAUUCUUACCAUAGGUGUUUUAUCCUCUCAACUAAUGGAUGGACCUAGUUAACAACUGUUCUGAUUGACUUCAAUCAUGUUAAAUCUUGUAAAUGGUUUAAAUAAUGAGCUUUCAGAUAAAGCAUAUAAUUCAGAACUGUUACCUGAUUAAAAGUAAAGUCCCUCAUAAUAAUCAAAUUACAUAAAAAAGAGUAUUGGACUAAAGAAAGAAGAGCAAAAUGAAGCAGCAAACAAUAUGUCAAACUAUUAAACGCUGGUAACCAUUUCUAUCCCUGUUGUUGCAUCGAUGAGAAUGCCAAACCAUGGUAAUACUGAUUCGAAGAUGAUUAAAGGCAAUGAUGAUGAUCGUGGUGGCCGCCCUUUACCUUGACUGUUGAACCUAUCUGAAGAAGUAAAUGAUCAUUAUGAUGACAAAAGUGAUUAUUUCUCGCAGAAGUUUCUUAUUGUUGGUUGGUCUAAAAGAAAUAGAAAGAUACAAAUUGUUGAUGAAAUCCUUGUGAUUGAUGAUUCAAAUUGCAAUGGAAAAUAAAAAUUGGUCUCAAUCAUUGUGGAGUUAAAUUGAUGGAGAAUAAGUCACAAAUUUUAUGGUUAAACGAACACGAACAUCAUCAACAUCAUCAUAAUCACCAUCACCAGGAUCAGGAUCAUCAUACUUAUAGUUGCCAUCAUCUAUGCGUGUUGCGUUUUUGUUAUCAAAACAUCUUUCAACAGCUUGUUAAAAGGAUAAUCAGCAGAUUGAUAAAUUGGUGUGGUUUAGUGAUGAAAAUGAGUUGAUUAAAAUGAUUUUUUCUCUUCUCA